rnacentral:rRNA from 1 species
AACGCGAAAGCCCCGCAGGGGCAAGUAGAGUGGCAAACGGGUGAGUAACACGUGGGUGACCUGCCUUCGAGUGGGGGAUAACGUCCCGAAAGGGACGCUAAUACCGCAUAACAUCCUGCCUUUGAACAGGCGGACAUCAAAGCUGGGGACCGCAAGGCCUGGCGCUUGAAGAGGGGCCCGCGCCUGAUUAGCUAGUUGGUGGGGUAAUGGCUCACCAAGGCAACGAUCAGUAUCCGGCCUGAGAGGGCGGACGGACACACUGGGACUGAGACACGGCCCAGACUCCUACGGGAGGCAGCAGUGGGGAAUUGUUCGCAAUGGGCGCAAGCCUGACGACGCAACGCCGCGUGGAGGAUGAAGACCUUCGGGUCGUAAACUCCUUUCGAUCGAGACGAAUGGCCCCCGGGUGAAUAUCCCGGGGGAGUGACGGUACCGAGAGAAGAAGCCCCGGCUAACUCCGUGCCAGCAGCCGCGGUAAUACGGGGGGGGGCAAGCGUUGUUCGGAAUUACUGGGCGUAAAAGGGCUCGUAGGCGGCCAACUAAUUCAGACGUGAAAUCCCUCGGCUUAACCGGGGAACUGCGUCUGAAACUGGAUGGCUUGAUUUCGGGAAAGGGGAUGCGGAAUUCCAGGUGUAGCGGUGAAAUGCGUAAAUUUCUGGAGGAACACCGGUGGCGAAGGCGGCUUCCUGGAACCGAUACUGACCCUAAGGAACGAAAGCCAGGGGAAGCAACGGGAUUUAAUUACCCCGG